GAUGAACGCUGGCGGCGUGCCUAAUACAUGCAAGUCGAGCGAACAGACGAGGAGCUUGCUCCUCUGACGUUAGCGGCGGACGGGUGAGUAACACGUGGAUAACCUACCUCUAAGACUGGGAUAACUUCGGGAAACCGGAGCUAAUACCGGAUAAUAUAUUGAACCGCAUGGUUCAAUAGUGAAAGACGGUUUUGCUGUCACUUAUAGAUGGAUCCGCGCCGCAUUAGCUAGUUGGUAAGGUAACGGCUUACCAAGGCAACGAUGCGUAGCCGACCUGAGAGGGUGAUAGGCCACACUGGAACUGAGACGCGGUCCAGACUCCUACGGGAGGCAGCAGUAGGGAAUCUUCCGCAAUGGGCGAAAGCCUGACGGAGCAACGCCGCGUGAGUGAUGAAGGUCUUCGGAUCGUAAAACUCUGUUAUUAGGGAAGAACAAAUGUGUAAGUAACUAUGCACGUCUUGACGGUACCUAAUCAGAAAGCCACGGCUAACUACGUG
rnacentral:rRNA from 1 species